rnacentral:rRNA from 1 species
GGGUCAGUAGGUUGGUCGUGUCACCGGUACGUACUGGUCUCACUGAUUCCUCCUUCCUGAAGAACCGUAAUGCCAUUAAUUUGGUGUUGCGGGGAAACAGGACUGUUACUUUGAAAAGAUUAGAGUGUUUAAAGCAAGCUAACGCUUGAACACAUUAGCAUGGAAUAAUGAAAUAGGACGAUCGAUCCUAUUUUGUUGGUUUCUAGGAUUGACGUA